rnacentral:rRNA from 1 species
CCUACGGGGAGGCAGCAGUGGGGAAUAUUGGACAAUGGGCGAAAGCCUGAUCCAGCCAUGCCGCGUGUGUGAAGAAGGCCUUCGGGUUGUAAGGCACUUUCAGUGGGGAAGAAAGCCUUGGGGCUAAUACCCUCGAGGAAGGACAUCACCCACAGAAGAAGCACCGGCUAACUCCGUGCCAGCAGCCGCGGUAAUACGGAGGGUGCGAGCGUUAAUCGGAAUUACUGGGCGUAAAGCGCGCGUAGGCGGUCUGAUAAGCCGGUUGUGAAAGCCCCGGGCUCAACCUGGGAACGGCAUCCGGAACUGUCAGGCUAGAGUGCAGGAGAGGAAGGUAGAAUUCCCGGUGUAGCGGUGAAAUGCGUAGAGAUCGGGAGGAAUACCAGUGGCGAAGGCGGCCUUCUGGACUGACACUGACGCUGAGGUGCGAAAGCGUGGGUAGCAAACAGGAUUAGAUACCGUGUAGUC